rnacentral:rRNA from 1 species
CAGCAGCCGCGGUAAUACGUAGGUGGCGAGCGUUACUCGGAAUUACUAGGCGUAAAGCGCGUGUAGGCGGGAGCUUAAGUCCGCUGUUAAAUCUCACAGCCUAACUGUGAAAUGCCGGCGGAUACUGGGUUUCUUGAAUUCGGUAGAGGUAACUGGAAUUCCAGGUGUAGCGGUGAAAUGCGUAGAUAUCUGGAAGAACCAAAGGCGAAGGCAGGUUACUGGGCCGCAAUUGACGCUGAGACGCGAAAGCUAGGGGAGCAAACAGGAUUAGAUACCCUGGUAGUCCUAGCCGUAAACGAUGUAGACCAGGUGUGGGAGGUAUCGACCCCUUCCGUGCCG